rnacentral:rRNA from 1 species
GAUGAACGCUGGCGGCGUGCCUAAUACAUGCAAGUCGAGCGAACGGACGAGAAGUUUGCUUCUCUGAUGUUAUCGGCGGACGGGAGAGUAACACGUGGUUAACCUAACUAUAAGACUGGGAUAACUUCGGGAAACCGGAUCUAAUACCGGAUAAUAUUUUGCACUGCAUGGUUCAAAAGUGAAAGUCGGUCUUGCUGUCACUUAUAGAUUGACCCGCGCUGCAUUAGUUAGUUGGUAAGGUAACGGCUUACCAAGGCAACGAUGCAUAGCCGACCUGAGAGGGUGAUCGGCCACACUGGAACGGAGACACGGUCCAGACUCCUACGGGAGGCAGCAGUAGGGAAUCUUCCGCGAUGGGCGAAAGCCUGACGGAGCAACGCCGCGUGAGUGAUGAAGGUCUUCGGAUCGUAAAACUCUGUUAUUAGGGAAGAACAAAUGUGUAAGUAACUGUGCACAUCUUGACGGUACCUAAACAGAAAGCCACGGCUAACUACGUG